AAUCAACGCUGGCGGCGUGCCUCAGACAUGCAAGUCGAACGAUUAAAGCUCUCUUCGGAGAGUGCAUAGAGUGGCGCACGGGUGAGUAACACGUAAGUAAUCUACCCUCGAGUGGGGAAUAACGUCCGGAAACGGACGCUAAUACCGCAUAAUGCAGCGGCACCGCAAGGUGACAGUUGUUAAAGAUUUAUCGCUUGAGGAGGAGCUUGCGGCAGAUUAGCUAGUUGGUAAGGUAAUGGCUUACCAAGGCUACGAUCUGUAACCGGUCUAAGAGGACGGUCGGUCACGCUGACACUGAAUAACGGGUCAGGCUCCUACGGGAGGCAGCAGUCGGGAAUUUUGGGCAAUGGGCGAAAGCUUGACCCAGCAACGCCGCGUGAAGGAUGAAGUAUUUCGGUAUGUAAACUUCGAAAGAAUAGGAAGAAUUAAUGACGGUACUAUUUAUAAGGUCCGGCUAACUACGUGCCAGCCGCCGCUGUAACAC
rnacentral:rRNA from 1 species